CCUGCAGCAGAGGAAACUCUCAGCGGGGAAACAGAUCACUGCCACACGCUCUCCGCGUGUGUCCCUCUCUAAACCCUCCGUGCGGAAACCACAUCCUCCCUCCGUGCUCCGCCGUCAUUCGUCCAGGUCGAAGCCGCCGGUGAGAUCGUGUCGCUGGCGGACUGGAGCAGCGAGAGCCGCGUGUGAAUGACCAGCUCCACCUCCACCUGAGGACCGAGAGGGGCGAGUCCACCGCCCGGUCCCCUCUCGCCGCUUAGCCGGCCACAGACGCGCAAGUGUGGGGAUACGGAGGUUACCGAACCGGGUCGCUCGCCGCCGUGGAUCGCUGCCCUUUCCCCGCUCCAACACGAGUGCCUCUCUGCCGCCCCCUGGUGACCAUGCAGAGUCUCUGUGCGGUGGUCGUGGCGCUGGCCGCUGUCGCCCUCAGCUCAGCGGACUUGGACACACACAGACCCAGACAUGACUCCAACCUGGAGAUCUACAAGCGGCUGUUUGAGACCAAGAGGAAAGAUCAACUGAACGCUCUGAAGAACCUGGUGGAGCUGAACGACAUUAACCAGCAGUACAAGAUCAUAGACAUCAUGCUCAAAGGACUCUUCAAGGUAGGAC